rnacentral:rRNA from 1 species
CACGUAGGGUGCGAGCGUUUGUCCGGAAUUAUUGGGCGUAAAGAGCUCGUAGGCGGUGUGUCGCGUCGGCCGUGAAAACCUGCAGCUUAACUGUGGGCUUGCGGUCGAUACGGGCAUCACUGGAGUUCGGCAGGGGAGACUGGAAUUCCUGGUGUAGCGGUGAAAUGCGCAGAUAUCAGGAGGAACACCGGUGGCGAAGGCGGGUCUCUGGGCCGAUACUGACGCUGGAGACGCGAAAAGCGUGGGGAGCAAACAGG